GGAAAGCCAUGGCGCUCUGACCACGGGGGGCUUCCCCACCACCUACUUGGGUGAGAGUACGGUGCCCCUGGGGAUCAGGCGUUACUGCUUUUACUGUUAGAAGAAAUGAGAAGAUGCACAUUUAGUCUUUAAUCCACUUUUUUAAUAGUAUAAACCUCAUUUAGGUAGUAGUAUUAAGCCACAACAAUAAUGCCACAUUGAAACAGCAUUUAAUAAAAUGCAUAAAGCUAAUUCAUGCACUGCAAUACUCUAUAUACAAACACAACAAUGCAAAUUCUUCUUCAAGACUGAAGACACUGAUUAGAUAUAAAAUUCAGUUUAAAAAGAACAUGCUAUUUUUUAAAUGCCAUCACAUAAACAAAGCUGAUUUCAAGCUACAGCUUUCAACAGGUUUUAAACCUGGAAUUAAAAUGUAAUGGCAUAAACAGUAUUUUCUAUAUUGUGAAGGGCAGAAGUUACAGAAACGGUCCCAAGAAAUCUAACACCCGAAUUUUCCUUUAACAGAUGUCUUUUAAAAGGGCUGGUAAUGCAAUUACAUUUUAACAGAGAGGUCCAAACUACAGUUUGUCACCUUUACUCCAAAAUCCUUCAGCAGUGGUGUGGUUGGGACCUCAGUCAAGGUCUUGGUUAAGCUGUCCCAGUAUCUGAUGGCAACCUGAGUCUAUAAGCUGAAUGGACACAGGACUCCCAGGGCUACCCCCCAGGAAGAAGGGGUGGGCCUUUUCCCCAACACCGAGAAUCAGAUCUAGGAGAUGUGACAUAGCAUGUAAUCCCAGAGAACUGCUGUGUGAUCAACAGACACGCUUACAUUAAAAAAUGAAAAGAACAGAAAAGAGGCAACUUGCUUGUAAGAUGCAUAAACACGGUUGAAAAUAGCCUCUGCUAAAAUCCUUCCUGAGCAGAAACGAAACAGACCUGCCCUUACUGCACUGUCCUGGCUGUUUUUUUUUUUUCUUUUUUCCUUAAUUUUGAAAUUUAAAUCAAAUUUAGAAAACCAAAAAUUUAAGCUGGCAAAAUUAAAAUUCUUUCCAUCAUUUUAUAAUGGGCACCCUUACUGUUUACAAAAUUUGCUUCCAAGACAAGAACUACAAAUAAUACACUUAAAAACAAAUAGGAAUUUAAAAGUUGGGAGAUACUGUCCCCACUUAAUUCCCACUAGACUUUCACAAAGUGCUGCUAACGCUUCAGCAUAGAGCAUUCUGUUUGUCUUAAGGCAGUGCCCGGCCGGGCACCCACACAGCACAUUAGGCCCCACCUCGAUGGCCUGAGUCAGGCCGAGAGUGCCUGAGAGGCAGGGGGAAGUGCACUGGGAUCUUUUUGGAUACCAUGUGAUCAAAAGAUCUGGGAGACGCAAAUUUCACUUUAGCUGUUUUCUUAAUCUGGGCUAUACAGAAAGGAAAUGAAGAAUACCUGACCGGGUCUUGGACAUGGCACUUUUCCCAAGCAGGAAAUGCCCGCUGCUCGCAUCCAUGGGAAUUUAUGGGUCUCUUCUCUAGAGAGAACUUCCUUAUAACUGCAUUCUGUUCUUGUAAACGAUGGUUGCUAUAACUUAAGAGAAAGAAGAUAACUUUGGGAGUUAAGGGUUUUUUUUUUCCUGUUGUUCUUUUUUGUUGUUGUUUUGUUUUUUAAGAGCAGGUAGCUUGCUUCUGCAUCCAUCACCUAAAAUGCUCCAGGGUUUUUUGCUGGCACACUCCUGGGGGAAUCAAAGUGCACGGUGUACCAGUACCACUCAGAGAAUUGCCAACAGAAGUGCUGAGUCUGGAGACACUGUGGAAAACCCUGAUAUUUAAGGUCAACCGAGAAGCCUUCCAUUCAGCUGCACCACCACCACCCUGGCCAGGCAGCAAAAUCCUGCACCGCCCCCCACCCCCUGGCCCCAAAUCCCCUCACAGAUCCGAGUGAGCUGCAGGAAUACAGCCC